AAGGAGCUGUCUAAGGCAAAACCAAUGACUGGGGUGAAGUCGUAACAAGGUAGCCGUAUCGGAAGGUGCGGCUGGAUCACCUCCUUU
rnacentral:rRNA from 1 species